rnacentral:rRNA from 1 species
UACAGGGGGAGCAAGCGUUAUCCGGAAUGAUUGGGCGUAAAGCGUCUGUAGGUGGCUUGAGAAGUCUACUGUCAAAAACCUGGGCUCAACCCUUGAUAGGCGGUAGAGUACUCUCGAGCUAGAGUUUGGUAGAGGUAGAGGGAACUUUUUGUGGAGCGGUGAAAUGCGUAGAUAUAAAGAGGAACACCAGUGGCGAAGGCGCUCUACUGGGCCAUAACUGACACUGAGAGACGAAAGCAAAGGGAGCAAAUAGG